AAGAAUCUCACAUCAUAACCCCAAAUGACCUGUUACUCACCAUGUGGCCCAGCUGUCUUCAAACUCACCAGCCUCCUGCCUUAGCCUUCUAAAUGCUUGGAUUACAGGCAUGACCCACCAUAACUGGCUUUGUUUUAGUUUCAGAGAAGAUGAAACUGAUGUGCGUCAAAAAGGUAAAUGUCACAUGACCCAUCUUAUGUUGAAUAAAACUAUUCUAUGAUUCAAUCUGUAUAAGCUUCAAAGAUAAAUUAACUAGCAGCACAUUUUUAUUAUUGUUUGUAUAGUAUGUUUGAUCAAAUUCCUUCCCCUCCCCAAACUCCCUCUAGAUCCUCCCCAUCUCUCUAUCCACCCAACUCUUUGUUCUUUAUCUCUCCCAAAAUAAAGAACAAAACAAGAAAAAACAACAACAAAAAAUGAAAGCAUGUGCGUGCAAGCACACCCCCCCAUACACACACAAACACACACACAAACAUACACACACACAUACACACACACACCACAUAAAGUCUAUUUUGUGUUGGCCAACCAUUUCUAUGCAUGAAGCCUGAUGCAUGAAGCCACAAAAAUUGGCUGAUAUACUCUCUCUCCCUGCACUGCUAUGAAAUAGCUCCUCUUUCCUGUAAUCUUCUCAUGAGAGUUGGGCAUCUCCUGUCUCUGACUCAGUCUGUCAAAUCUUUCUCUGACUCAUUACUUUGUCUGCCCCCCUUCGACAAUUCUGUGGAGAUAAACUUUCAGUAGACGUGGAGCAGAUUAUCACAGUUGAAUUGUGCUGAGAGAAGAGCUGAAAUGACUAAGCUCACAGGAAAACUACCAAAGGGCGUUACUGAAUGUCCAGUUUACAGUCUCCAAAGGGGAGCUGCCUCUGCUGGUGGUGAUGCAUGGAACAUGGCUUUAUUGUGUGAACCUUGGAAAUGGACACCAGAGAGUCCUGGACUUGUAGUCGGUGUAGCAGAAGUUGAUCUGGGGCCGAGGUCUUAAGAUUUCUGAGGCUCAAGACAUGAGUAAUAGAUUGCUAGUCUUUCCAUGGAUGAGAACCGGCAAAAUCUCUAAGUGAGAAAUCACAUCAUCUAUAGUUCAAAGCAGAGUUCCUAUUCCAAUGAGAAAGAAUACUCAUCAGAAGGUCAAGGCAUGCAACCAACCAAUCCAUACGAUGUGUUCCAAUAUGCUCAACUCUGCUCUCAAUGUUUUGCAGCAUGUCAGAAUGUAAACUUAACAGCAACCUCUGAGGUGUUAAAUACAGACAAGUCAAAGUAGAUUAAAUCUAUUUCAACAUAAAGAUUUGAACAUGGCACUCUGCCCCGGAAAUGCAUGUGACCCCCUCAAUAUGCUGCCUUUGCUGCACAACUGUCUUUUUGUACUCUUGUAAUGUUGAUGGCUUGUGCAUCAUCAAAACCAAACAAACGUCUGU
rnacentral:lncRNA from 1 species